rnacentral:rRNA from 1 species
GACGAACGCUGGCGGCGUGCCUAAUACAUGCAAGUAGAACGCUGAAGAGAGGAGCUUGCUCUUCUUGGAUGAGUUGCGAACGGGUGAGUAACGCGUAGGUAACCUGCCUGGUAGCGGGGGAUAACUAUUGGAAACGAUAGCUAAUACCGCAUGAAAUUGAUUAUUGCAUGAUAGUCAAUUAAAAGGUGCAACUGCACCACUACCAGAUGGACCUGCGUUGUAUUAGCUAGUUGGUGAGGUAACGGCUCACCAAGGCGACGAUACAUAGCCGACCUGAGAGGGUGAUCGGCCACACUGGGACUGAGACACGGCCCAGACUCCUACGGGAGGCAGCAGUAGGGAAUCUUCGGCAAUGGACGGAAGUCUGACCGAGCAACGCCGCGUGAGUGAAGAAGGUUUUCGGAUCGUAAAGCUCUGUUGUAAGAGAAGAACGAGUGUGAGAGUGGAAAGUUCACACUGUGACGGUAUCCUU